AGGGAUGUGGUGAAAUGGUAUCACAGCAGUCUCCAAAACUGCUUUUCCCCGUCCGAAUCGGGGCAUCCCUGCCA
rnacentral:tRNA from 1 species